AAUUCUUUAUUAUUUUAUGCUUGCAAUAACAACUGUUCUAAAUGGAACAUAACCGACCGUUGCAUCUUGCAAGUUGUAGCUGUCAAUUUUUGCGCCAAUUCUGUUAUUUUCGUUUCGUUUGAUGGUUUCUAUGUUAUUUUCUUUAUUUUGUUCGUGAAUAUCACGAUUACAACAUACCUACAGUACAACCCAGCAAGAAGCACCAAAGCGACGAUGCAGGGCGCGGUGACGCCUGAAGGCGGUCGUCGCACGCGCGCCGCUCUGGCCGAGAUCCCGGGCUUCCUGGACCGCCUGCGCGUCACGCCGCUCCAGUCUAUCGCCAACACGCGGGACCUGUCCCCCGGCCUGCCGCCAGGGUAUCUGAGCCCGGCCGCCUCGCCUGACGAGUUGCUUAUACAACAGAGAGGCCGCCGACGUCUGCCUGUAACGUGGUCGCCCGACAUAGAAGUGCGACGGAAUUCAUCCUUCCAUUCAAUCGUGAGGACUCCACCAAAAAACACCCCAAGCCGCCUCUCACCCCCAAAAUUAGGGGUUACUUUACGAUCAACACCACGUAAACGAUUACUACUUGGCGAUACCGAAAGAGUACCUUUUACACCGGAAAAAAUAGAUUUCAGCGACAUCAGCACUCCUCAAAAAUUCAAAUUAACAAGUCCUGUAAAAGGUACCCCUCCUAACAAAAGAUCUAGGAUUGAAAAGACUUGGGACAAAGAGAUUAAAGGGCCUAUUGACACUGCCUUAAAAGGGUUGAGCCCUAGCCAGUUGAUUCAUAUAAUCAAAAAUAUUACGUACAAGUAUCCUGAAGUUGAGGAGGAAUUGAGAAAAGAUAUGCCGGCUCCAGACCUCACACCUCUCGAAGAAAAGAUGAGCUACUUAAAGUGUAAUAUUUUCAAAAGCCUACCAACAUCCCGCCUCACUUCCAAAACAGAUUCUCCUGCUUAUUCCCGCGCUUCCACUCAUUUGGCAGCAUUUAAAAAGUGUAUUGUCGAUCAAGGAAAAUUCCUAGUUGAGUCACAACACUGGGAAUCUGUAAUACAGUAUGUAUUUCUUGCUUGGAGCUAUGUAAAAGCAACCCCGGUUUGGGACAAUCAACCACACAAUAACACCAGAAAACAAUGCUUUAAAGCGUUGAACAAUUUUUGUUUAACCGCAUUGAAGAAAGGAAAUUUUGAUCCCGAUUUCUUAGCUGAUGUCCAAGACAAGAUACAAGGCUUGGCCGCUGAUAGUGAAGAAGUUCAAUCGUGCCUUAAAUACCUCCAGGGACAGCUGAAAGAUUUCUAAAUACAGACUGCACUACCAAUUCAGGAUGGAAGGACUUAGACUUAUUAAUUUUCAUCAUAAACCACGAAAUCAAACAAUACGAAUUUGGUCCUUCAAGCCAGAUUACUUGAUUGAAAUGUUUUUUAAUGUAUCUGGAUAAACUACUUAAGCCACAUAUUCGUAUGUCAUCCCGCGUGUUCAACCCUCUUAAAUUUCCCUUCGUAUUCUGGUAAGUCAAUUAUGCAAGUUUUUAUGUAACAAUACAUAAAAUUACUGUAUAUUAGGAAAUUAAAACUAAUUACUGUAACGUAAUUAAAUAUAUUUGUUACAUCUAUUUUGAAAUAUUUGAUAUCGUAAAACACUUUGUUUUUUAAAACAUCCCAGUUAUUUUGAAGAAAGUUGUUUUUGCUACUUUUUUAAACCAGGUGUUCUUAGUAUUAAGUCUUGCGUACCUUAUGUUUGACUGAUUGUGAAAGGAAUCAAAUUAAUAUUUGUAGAGUAAUUAAAUGGUCUUCCAUAAUUAUAUGGAACGCAAUAUUUGAUUCUUUUCAUUGUAGCUGUGAACAUACCAAAUUUCCCUACUAUAAUUAUAUUUAGUUCAAUUAAGGUUUAAUUACCUAAAGUGCUAAUUAACGGUCAAUAAAAGCUACUUUUUGUUAAUAGCUAUUGUAAUACGGAAUGAACUAUAUCCAUUUUUGUGUUUCAUUUAUGAAGUAAUAUGAAUUGCUUUGAUUUGUAAUAAAGUUAGGAUUAAUUAUCGUUUCAAUAAAUAAUAUUAGUUGCUUUAUGUGAUUGAAGUUUGCCAUUGUACCUAUAUACUUAUAUUUUUAUAGUCUUCAUAUGUUUUGUGUUUAUGUAUAAUUAUCUUUUGAUGUUUUAGCAUACAUCAACAUAAUAACUUUAUAUCACGAAUAAUUUACAGCAGUUUUCAAUAAACGAUCCCAAUCUCAAUCUUCAAUCCGAUUCCGAGAAUGAACCAAUGGAAAUAACUAAUUUGUAAACAUGUCCAAAAUACUUUGUUCUGAUUGGUCCAUUUUUGAGAUAGCUCAAUAGAAGGGAUUGGGAUCGUUUAUUGACAAUGGCGGUUAGUGAAUUAAAAUGUAAUGUAAAUAUUUUUGUUAAUUUACAUUUUUAAGGCUCGCGAAAGCGCAUUGAAAUUUAGGAUUUCUGCAGUUGGUACUUGUAUUUUUUGUUAUGCUGCAUUCAUUUGAAGAUACAUGUUAAAAUGAAAUAUUGCGUAUAAAUCUUACCUGUUUAUAAGCCCAACUAUAUAACUUACGUAUAAAAUAACAUAUAAUUAUGUCUCCUAAAUGUGCCUUGAAAAAAUCUUAGAUGUAAAAGUUUUACAUGUGAAUGUUCGAUGUGUAAAUCGAAACGACACAUGGUACAUAUUGGUUAACAGUAAAGAAAAACACUAAAAAUGCAUUGUGCCUUCAGCUAUUGUCAUUGACAAAAUAUCAUAAGAUAUUGUUAGUAUAGUUUUAUUGUUAAGUAUUCCUUUUUGGUAAAUAAAUGGUAUUUUCAUAUA
rnacentral:misc_RNA from 1 species